rnacentral:rRNA from 1 species
CCAAUAGCGUAUAUUAAAGUUGUUGCAGUUAAAAAGCUCGUAGUUGAAUUUCGGGGUCAGUAGGUUGGUCAUGCCACUGGUAUGUACUGGUCUCACUGAUUCCUCCUUCCUGAUGAGCCGUAAUGCCAUUAAUUUGGUGUUGCGAGGAAUCUGGACUGUUACUUUGAAAAAAUUAGAGUGUUUAAAGCAGGCUAACGCUUGAAUACAUUAGCAUGGAAUAAUGAAAUAGGACGUUCGAUCUUAUUUUGUUGGUUUCUAGGAUUGACGUAAUGAUUAAUAGGGAUAGUUGGGGGCAUUAGUAUUCAAUUGUCAGAGGUGAAAUUCUUGGAUUUAUUGAAGACUAACUACUGCGAAAGCAUUUGCCAAGGAUGUUUUCAUUAAUCAAGAACGAAAGUUAGGGGAUCGAAGACGAUCAGAUACCGUCGUAGUCUUAACCAUAAACUAUGCCGACUAGGGAUCGGAUGAUGUUAAUUUUUUAAUGACUCAUUCGGCGCCUUACG